GAAGCAGUGAAGCUAUGAAGAGCAGCCUCUUCAUCUCUGAGUAACUACGGCUACCCUCACCAAUCAAUCAGGAAAUCACCAAUUCACGAUCAUCAUCAAGUGAUUCAAGUCUUACUAGUUAGUAGCUAUCAAUCAAUCAGGUUAAGUGGUGACUGCCAAGGAUACCAAUUUUUUCUUCGUCUAUCAGAUUCAAUCUAAACCUUUUUGUUUCCAAGGUUGAGGUUGUCCUAUCCAAUCAAUGGCCUUAUUGGAGGGGAAAGUGCAGAUUUGUGGCCUAGGAUUGCAACUUGCAAGUGCAGGCUGUGCAGCCAUCCAUUAUUUCUUGUCGACUUGUCGUAGACAGACUUAUAUGGUAGUGGAAAUGUUGUUUUUACUUUUUGGCAAACUGAACUUAUGAACUUAUUUUGGAUUGUUGUUUUGAAGUUAUGCAAAAUGUUGAACUUAAAUAUGUAUGCAACCUGAACUUAUUUUGGAUUGUUGAACAUUGAACUUAUGGAAAUGUUGUAUUAUAUUUUGUAAUA